rnacentral:lncRNA from 1 species
UACAACAAAAUAUGCAAAGGCGCAAGCAAGCCGAACUGUCAAGGAAGUGGCAUGCCAGACUGAUUUGGAAUUGCCAGACAUCCUGUUGAUGGAGGAAAUGCGUCAGCGGUGUUCUACACCUUUAUGUUCAAAGCCAUCCAUGACCUAUGAAGACAACACUCAUGACAAGACAUGAGCCUACAUUGAACAGCUCAGUGGC